rnacentral:lncRNA from 1 species
UGGUCAAAGGGAUUGGGUGGAUAGAUGAUGAUAAUUAUGAUGGUGUAAAAUAUAGAAAUGUGUGAGUGAGGAUAGAGAAAUAGGUAAAAGAAGGAGGAAAGAGUUGAAUGAUUGAGUGGUGUAGUUAAGAGUUGGGGAGAUAAGUUAGUGGGAUUAAUGAUGGUGAGUGUGAAAGUGGAGCCAAGGAAGAGCGAGUUUGUAGAUGUGGGACCUUAUAUAUAUCAUUUCGCAUUGCGCGCCCACUCAUCAUUAAUAAACUAUUUUUUGCUUAAAUAAGUUGUUGAGUAAAUGGUUUCCACUUUAUGAUAAGAAUAAUGAUUUUUUUUUUACAAAAUUUUAAUAUUGGUGUUAUUACGUGAU